UACGUAGGGUGCGAGCGUUAAUCGGAAUUACUGGGCGUAAAGCGUGCGCAGGCGGUGAUGUAAGACCGAUGUGAAAUCCCCGGGCUUAACCUGGGAAUUGCAUUGGUGACUGCAUUGCUGGAGUAUGGCAGAGGGGGGUGGAAUUCCACGUGUAGCAGUGAAAUGCGUAGAGAUGUGGAGGAACACCGAUGGCGAAGGCAGCCCCCUGGGCCAAUACUGACGCUCAUGCACGAAAGCGUGGGGAGCAAACAGG
rnacentral:rRNA from 1 species